AGCAGCCGCGGUAAUUCCAGCUCCAAUAGCGUAUAUUAAAGUUGUUGCAGUUAAAAGCUCGUAGUUGAAUUUCGGGGUUAGUAGGUUGGUCAUGCCUCUGGUAUGUACUGGUCUCACUGAUUCCUCCUUCCUGAUGAACCUUAAUGCCAUUAAUUUGGUGUUUUGGGGAAUUUGGACUGUUACUUUGAAAAGAUUAGAGUGUUUAAAGCAAGCUAACGCUUGAAUACAUUAGCAUGGAAUAAUGAAAUAGGACGUUCGAUCCUAUUUUGUUGGUUUCUAGGAUUGACGUAAUGAUUAAUAGGGAUAGUUGGGGGGCAUUAGUAUUCAAUUGUCAGAGGUGAAAUUCUUGGAUUUAUUGAAGACUAACUACUGCGAAAGCAUUUGCCAAGGAUGUUUUUCAUUAAUCAAGAACGAAAGUUAGGGGAUCGAAGACGAUCAGAUACUGUCGUAGUCUUAACCAUAAACUAUGCCGACUAGGGAUCGGAUGAUGUUAAUUUUUUUAAUGACUCAUUCGGCGCCU
rnacentral:rRNA from 1 species